UUUUUUUUUUUUUCAUUUUUGUUUUUCUAUCAGCUGAAAUCGCUCUAGCAUUUGCUCUACGCGCAGGAGAUGAAACACGACAGGGGGACCUGACAGACGUUGCUACAGCCCCACGGGGGGAGUGUUUGUCCCGCCAGCAGGCGGGUGGGGGGGGGGGGGGAGUGUUUGAGGGAUUUCUUCAGGAAAAGAAAAAAUGAGAGAAAGAAAGAUCUGGUGCUUUUUUUUUUUCACCAUUGAAAAAACUGUGCUUGUUCAUUAGGCGUAAAGAGUUGAGAAUACUUGCAGGGAGGCUGGGGACAUUUGCAGAAGAGGAGCUUGAGUCCUGCCAUGGUUCUUGGCCAGGGCCAGAGGGCCCAGGGGGCGCCAGGUGGGGGGGGUCCCGGCUAGUGGAGGAGCCCCCCACCCACACCCCUGCCCGGGCAGGCCGCCUGUGGCCUGUGGCGUUGGUUUCAUGGGUUGGCGUCCUUGGCGACCCGCUGUGGCCAGGGCUGGGCAGGCCCAACUUGAAUCCUGGGGUGGCUCUCGCCCCAGAAGGCACUCAUGCGUCUCAGUCAAGAAAGGGUCUGAGUCCCUUGAGUUGAGCAGUAGGAGCACUCCCGGGGUUGGGGGGGUCUCUCCUCCCGGAGGUGGUGGGUACAAGGUGCUGAGGCCUGAGCCUGCCUCUUCUUCUUCUUCUUCCCAGGCUCCCCGAUGAGGGAAAGGGGGGCUUCGGGGGAGCAGAAGCACAGACCCCUCUCCUGUGUUCUCACCCCGAGAGCUGUCCGGCUGGGGGCCUGGAGCUGGCGGGAGCCUGAGUCCGCGUCCCCUCCUGCACCCACCUGCAGGGUACGAGGGCCCCCAGAGAGGUGGGGAGGGGAGGGGGCUUCAGGAUGCACCCCCAAAGUCAGCGAUCCCCGCCCCAGUCAGCGCCUCGGGUUAGCCUGGGCCCCCAGAGCCUGCCCAGAGCGAGGCGGGGGGCAGGGGCUGCAGCCCACACUCAGCCUCCGGCCAGUGUCACCCCCGGAGUAGUUUCCCGGCUCUCAGCAGGCGGCCCUACCGCUGGAAAGAUGCGUCGAUGUCAGGGAGGAUCAGAGGAUCGGGUGCUGGAAGGAGACUUGGCAAGCAUCUAGUCCAACCGCCUUGCAUCACAGCUGGGGAAACUGAGGCCCAGCAGUGGGGCAUGCCUUGUCAUUGGACCCCGGACCCCAGCUCACGCACCACCUGGCUCGGCGCAGACUCCCUCUCCCCCGAGCCUUCUGAACCAGCCUCAGAGAGCACGAGAGCCCCAGUCCCAGAUGGGAGCGACCUUCCCGACCUUCCCAAGCCACCCUGGCUGCCUCCAGGGUACAGCAGGCUGGGGACAAUUUCCAACUUCCCGUGGCUGCUAGUCAAUAGCUCUCCCCAAAAUCCUGACUCGGAAGCACUUUCUAUACCUGUGGGGUCUCCGGCCUUUAGCCCUGGAGACAGUCCGCAGGCUGGAACCACCGAACUGGACUGGGUAACGCGCAUUGCUGUUAACCCCGUGUCAGCUCGUCAUCAUUUUUGUGCUAUUUUAUGCAUCUUGGCUCCUCGGCUAAAAAGCCUAAGCUCCUCAAGGCAGGGUAUUGUCCUCUCUCCCAGCACUAAACAGGCACUCAGGAA
rnacentral:lncRNA from 1 species